AUAUAAUAAUAUUAAGGUAGCGUAAUAAAUUGUCACUUAAUUAGUGAAUAUAAUGAAGGUUAUAUGAAUUAAAUUCUGUCUNUAAAAAAUAAAAUAAAAUUAAUAAUUAAGUGAAAAAUCUUAAUUUUUCUUAAAAGACGAUAAGACCCUAUAGAACUUAUUUAUUAACCAUAAAUUUUACUGGGGAAGUAAAAAUAUNAAAAAAAUUAUUUUU
rnacentral:rRNA from 1 species